AGCUACCACUUACAGAUGGACCCGCGGCGCAUUAGCUAGUUGGUGAGGUAACGGCUCACCAAGGCGACGAUGCGUAGCCGACCUGAGAGGGUGAUCGGCCACACUGGGACUGAGACACGGCCCAGACUCCUACGGGAGGCAGCAGUAGGGAAUCUUCCGCAAUGGACGAAAGUCUGACGGAGCAACGCCGCGUGAGUGAUGAAGGUUUUCGGAUCGUAAAACUCUGUUGUUAGGGAAGAACAAGUACCGUUCGAAUAGGGCGGUACCUUGACGGUACCUAACCAGAAAGCCACGGCUAACUACGUGCCAGCAGCCGCGGUAAUACGUAGGUGGCAAGCGUUGUCCGGAAUUAUUGGGCGUAAAGCGCGCGCAGGCGGUUUCUUAAGUCUGAUGUGAAAGCCCCCGGCUCAACCGGGGAGGG
rnacentral:rRNA from 1 species